rnacentral:rRNA from 1 species
AUGCAAACAAAAUUUGACCGAAUUAGGCGCCUAAUUCGGUGUUUUACACUUGUUCAGCUAGACGACGGGGAGGGGGUCGAUUUGAAACAAGUCGGUGAUGUCGUCGAAGAACUCAUCUGCCUGCUGCAACGUCGCCGGGGACGGCGGGCACGGGUUGUAGGCCGACGACGAGCAGUCGCUGGAGAAUGCGAAGGCCGGCUCCGGGAGGUUGGACAGGAAGUCCAUCGGCGGCUCCGCGAAGUCGGAGAGGAGGUCGAAGUCAGUGUAGAGCGGGGCCAGCUCGCCGGCGAAGUCGUCGCCGGAGAACGAGCAGCCGAAGACGCCGCUCGACUCGUCGGUCUCGGCGGUGCUGGAAGACGACGACGGCUUCUUGGAGGAGUCGUCGUCGACGGCGGCGCCCAGGGUGGACUGAGGGAAGGAGCGGAGGACGGAUGUCGGGGACGCGGCCGCGACGUGGGACUCCUCGCACGAGUCGUAGGAGGUGGCCGAGGAGGACGCGUUCUUGGAGCCCGCCGGUGGCUGCGGAAGGCGUUCGGCGACCUCGGCGGGGACCUCCAUGUCCUCCCCGUCCUCGGACUGCUGGAAGUUGACGGUGGCGUCGGGGCCGCGCAGCUUGAUGGCGGCCGAGUCGUAGACCUUGGCGGCCUCCUCGGCCGUGUCGAAGGUGCCCAGCCACACGCGGACGCGUCGCCACGGGUCGCGGAUCUCCGCGGCGUACUUACCCCAGGGGCGGCGCCGGACGCCGCGGAACCGCCGCUCGCCGCCGGCCUCGGCCUUCCUCUUCCUGACGGGAACCAUCACCCUGGGCCUCGUCGUCGCCGUCGCCGACGCGGCCUUGGCCACCGGCGCCGACUCCUCCACCUUCACCUGGACGGCGGGCUGCAGCCGGAUCUCCUGGACGUAGCGCUUGACGCGGCGCCGCUCGCCCUCCUCCUCAUCGCUGGAGGAAUCGGUGGCGUCGAAGUCGUCGCAGAAGACCCUCACCAUCUUGGGCUGCUCGCCGCCACCAAACCCCUCCUCCCCCCUGGCCGACGGCGCCACCGAACGGGACGUCACCUCGACGUGCUCCGUCCUCUUCACCGCCAUGAAAAACUCCUCCUCCAUGGGCCACAUCGAGGAAAGGAAAACACUCACCCUAAAACUCCACUCGCAUUUGCCUGCGCCCCAGACGCGGCCUACCUAAAACCCCUGAAGAAUCCCCGUAAAACCCAAGGCAGGCGGGGGCAAAGGCACCACCGCCGGCGAACUCCGGCGCGGAGGAGGUGGGGAGGGGAAGGCGAAAAGCAAAGGGCUUUUGGCCUGGACGGAAGGAGGAGAGGAGGCGAUUAG